rnacentral:rRNA from 1 species
GGGGGUUAAAGUAUUAUUAUAGAAAAAAUUGAAAAAUUUAUAGUUAAAUAGUAUUGUAAAAGAAUUUUGAAAUAAAAAUUAAAUAUUAAAUUUUUAUAAAGUAAAUUUAAUUUAUUGUAUCUUGUGUAUCAGAGUUUAUUAAUAAAAUAUUAUAAUUAAAAAUUUCUCGAAUUUUAAAGAGUUAAUUAAUUAAAAAAGUUAAUGUUGAAUAAUUAUUUUUAAUAAUUAAUUGGAAAUGAAAUGUUAAUCGUUUUAAAAUAUAUCUAGUUUUUUUAGAAAUAAAUUUAAUUUAAAAUAAUAUUUUUUAAUUUAUUUUAUUAUUAAAAUAUUAAAAUUAUUAUUUAAUAUUUUAAGGGAUAAGCUUUAAAAUAAAAUUUUAUAAUAAAUUGUUAAUUACAAUUAAAUUUUUAGAAUUUAUAUUGUUAAAUAAAUUAUAAUUUUUUAUAAAUAAUUUAAUUUAUAAAAUAAAAUUUUAUAGAAGAAAUUUAAUUUUUUAUAAAAAAAUAAUUUUUAAUAAUUAAAAAUAAUAUAUAAUGAUAAAAUUAGUAUAUGAAUAAAUUUAAAUAAUAAAUAUUAAAAUUUAAAAAUUUAAAUAAAGGAAUUCGGCAAAAAUUUAUAUUCACUUGUUUAUCAAAAACAUGUCUUUUUGUAAUAAUUUAAAGUCUAAUCUGCCCACUGAUAUUAUUAAAGGGCUGCAGUAUUUUGACUGUACAAAGGUAGCAUAAUCAUUUGUCUCUUAAUUGGUGACUUGUAUGAAAGAUUGAAUGAAAUAUGAACUGUCUCAAUUUAAUUUAUAAAAUUUAAUUUUUUAGUUAAAAAGCUAAAAUAAGUUUAAAAGACGAGAAGACCCUAUAGAGUUUUAUAAUUAUAUUAAUUAUAAUAAAAUAUAAAUUUUUUAAUUAAAAUUAAUAUAAUUAUUUUGUUGGGGUGACAAAAAAAUUAAAUUAACUUUUUUUAAAAAAUUUACAUUAAUUUAUGAUUUUAUGAUCCAUUUUUAGUGAUUAAAAGAAAAAAUUACCUUAGGGAUAACAGCGUAAUUUUUUUUUUUAGAUCAAAUAAAAAAAAAAGUUUGCGACCUCGAUGUUGGAUUAAGAUAAAAUUUAAAUGCAAAAGUUUAAAAUUUUUGAUCUGUUCGAUCAUUAAAAUCUUACAUGAUCUGAGUUCAAACCGGUGUAAGCCAGGUUGGUUUCUAUCUUUAAUUAAAAAUAAUAUUUUAGUACGAAAGGAAUAAAUAUUGAAAAUAAUUUUAUAAAAAAUGAAUAUUAUUAACUAUGAUUAUA